rnacentral:rRNA from 1 species
GACGAACGCGGGCGGCGUGCCUAAUACAUGCAAGUAGAACGCACAGUUUAUACCGUAGCUUGCUACACCAUAAACUGUGAGUUGCGAACGGGUGAGUAACGCGUAGGUAACCUGCCUGGUAGCGGGGGAUAACUAUUGGAAACGAUAGCUAAUACCGCAUAAUAUUGAUUAUUGCAUGAUAAUUGAUUGAAAGAUGCUAUUGCAUCACUACCAGAUGGACCUGCGUUGUAUUAGCUAGUAGGUGAGGUAACGGCUCACCUAGGCGACGAUACAUAGCCGACCUGAGAGGGUGAUCGGCCACACUGGGACUGAGACACGGCCCAGACUCCUACGGGAGGCAGCAGUAGGGAAUCUUCGGCAAUGGACGAAAGUCUGACCGAGCAACGCCGCGUGAGUGAAGAAGGUUUUCGGAUCGUAAAGCUCGGUUGUAAGAGAAGAACGGGUGUGAGAGUGGAAAGUUCACACUGUGACGGUAUCUUACCAGAAAGGGCCGGCUCCCUACGUU